rnacentral:rRNA from 1 species
UACGUAGGGUGCGAGCGUUGUCCGGAUUUAUUGGGCGUAAAGCGCGCGCAGGCGGUCCUUUAAGUCUGAUGUGAAAUCUUGCGGCUCAACCGCAAGCGGUCAUUGGAAACUGGGGGACUUGAGUACAGAAGAGGAAAGCGGAAUUCCACGUGUAGCGGUGAAAUGCGUAGAGAUGUGGAGGAACACCAGUGGCGAAGGCGGCUUUCUGGUCUGUAACUGACGCUGAGGCGCGAAAGCGUGGGGAGCAAACAGG